UAUAUGGAUUGAAAUAGUCAAGGAAGAAAAAGGGUACAAAAGAAUGACCCUAAUUUUCCUUGUAUUUUUAUGAAAAGGUCUUGGUAAGACAAAAUUUUGUCUAGACCUACAGAUUGUUAAUUUGACAAAUAAAAUAUUUGUCUAACAGUGCACAUACACUGAAAAAUUUUGAUGCAAUUUUAUGUGGAUAUAUCGCAUUCAUUGAGUACCCCAAUGAUUAUGAGAUCACUUGACAUAAAUGAUGAUUCAGUUUGAUCUCAAAAGAAGGAUGAAGAGUUUCUUGGUGAUGAAAUCUAUCUUGGUGCAAUCAGGGCACUAGUGCAUUUUACUAACAAUAUUUGACCAGAUAUUUGUUUUGCAGUAAAUUUACUAGCAAGAUUCAGUUUCUCCCCGAUAAAAGGACAUUGAAAUGGUGUUGAGCACAUGAAUGAAUAUCCUCGAAGGACCAUAGUUAUGGGUUUAUUCUAUCCCGAGGAAUCCAAGACAAAAUUGAUUGAUUACGCAGAUGCAGAAUAUUUAUCUGAUCCGCAUAAAGCUCUAUCUCAAGCACGCUAUGUGUUUGCGUGUGGAGGCACAAUAAUAUCCUGGGGAUCAAUGAAGCAAAUGUUGCUCUGCAGAAAUAAAAGUCCUCCAUGAAGCAAGUCAAAAGUGCGUCUGGUUGAGAUAAAUGACACACCAUAUUCAAGAAAUGUGUGGUUUUUCUUUAAAAAAAGAAUAUACCAACCACAAUGUACAAAGAUUGGAGACAUCAUCACAAGAAAUCAAGUGAUGUUUUAAUCAGGGGGAGUACAAUACGCGUUGCACUCUUUUUCCCUUGAUCGAGGUUUUUUCCCACUGGGUUUUCCUGGCAAGGUUUUUAAUGAGGCAACAAAUGGUGCGUAUCAAAAGAUAUGUGUACUCUUUUUCCUUCACUAGAAUUUUUUCCCACAGGGUUUUUCCUAGUAAGGUUUUAACAAGGCACAUUAUCUAUGGACAGCCAAGGGGGAGUGUUAUAAAUACAUUGAAUUAAGUGGAUAGUCCAUAAGGUUGGUACAUGAACAACCAUUCAUAUUUACUAGGUGACAUGAACCUUUUUGGAUAAGAAUGUAUCUAUUUAUUAUGAUACUUAAUAUGGUAACCUUUGGAGUGAUUUCUCACUCUAUAAAUAGGGUUGUUCAUUCACUAUUGUAAUAUAUACAUAUGAGACUUGAAUACACUUGAAUAAGAAGAAAAUUCCUCUUCUUCUAUCUACAUCUCUUGUCUUCUUCUCUUUAUGAUUAUAUUGUCAUGAGCUUGAUUUUAUAACACGUUAUCAGCACGAGUCUCUAGCCAAUUAAGAUUGAGUUUUACUUUUUCUUUAACUCAUGUUUUGGUUGAUCUCGUUAUGAAGAUCAAAGUAUUAUAUGCAUAAAAUCAGACAUAUACUACUAUUGGUUGAAUAUGACAUGCUAUACAAAAUUUCUUAAAUAGAAGAAGGUAUAAAAUUUUAAUAGCAUGAAUUUGAAUGUUAUUUUGAUUGUUUUGAAAGACUCAAAGGAUGAGUCAUGUUGUACUUUGAUUUAUUAUACCGUUGGUUAAGGGUAAGACGAUGAAUUCAAGUUUCAUCGCACCAAAAGGGUAAGACAUCAGGUUAAAGUCCGGAUGCACCAUAAUGAAAAAUAUUUGAGGAUAAGACGAUAGAUUCAAGUUCUAUCGCACCAAAAGGGUAAGACAUCAAUUUGAGUUUUGAUGCACCGUGAUUGGAUUCAAGUCCCAUAGAAUUAUGGCGUAAAACGCCUUAUAUGGAUAAGACAUUGAGUUUGAGUCAAUGCACCAUAAUGAUGAUAUAAUGAUGACUAGGCUUUGAUGAAAAGUCUUGAAAUUCGUUCUAUUGAAUUUGCUUCAUUCCUUGAAAAGAAUGUGGUAGCAACAUGUAAUAACUCUGAAAUCCGCCUGUUAACUUGCUCCAUUCAAUCAUAUGAAUGUGGUAGCAGUGAAUGUUAGUCUGAAAGAUGACAAAUGAUUAAUGAUAUGAAUAAGGGCGUGGAGGGACAUAAUUAUAAUAGUCAUCAUUGUGGUAAUGAUAAAAGGAAGAACACUAUAAGUUCUUCAAAUAGUCCUUUAAAAUGUGAAGGAAAUUUAAAUAAAUAUGUGAACUUAAAGUUCAAGGGAUAAUUCAGUUGCAUAAUGUUGCAAAUCAGUUGCCAGAGGAAUGCACUGACCCUAUGAUAUAAUUCAGCUGCGAAUGCUUCAAUGUGAAGUCCUUGAAGGACAGAGUCUAUGAUACGCCGAAAGCGUAAUAGACCAAUUGAUUCCAAAUAUAAAAUUCCUUAAAGAAGGAAGGAACAAAUGAUCAAUAUGGUCAUGAUAAUGAGGCAAGUGCUAUAAAAGAGCACAUUGACAUAACACUUCAUAAAAUCUUGAAAAAGGUUCAGGUACCUGAAAUAAUAAAAAAUGAAGAGAUCUCGAUAAGUUAUGUCUUGUUGGAAUCGAUAUCAAAUAACCUCGACGGUAUCUUUGAUAUGAGGUAGCGCUCAAUGAUAUAAAUUGUGACGAGGAUCUUGAAUUCAAAUCUGUCAUAUAGUGUGGACAGAUAAAUGGUUGGCCAAGUAAAAUGCACAAUUCAAGUAUAUUUUGUUUCACUUAGAAAAGUGACAUUUUGGACUGGUAGUCCAUAAAUCAAGGUAUAAUGUCAGUGGGGUACAAAUAAAUUAUUAUGCGAUAGUAUAACCGUAAGAUAUCAAAUACGGUUUGUGCCUUGGGGCAUAAAGGUUUAUCGCAAAAAUCCUGACAUUAUUGGAGAUGUUUUCUCCUUUGGUGGAUGCAAUGAGGUUUGUUUUGAUCUGGCAACAUAUGAAAACUUGAAUGCAUGUAAAUGAAUAAUUGUAAUGUCUAGCUAGACAAUGAAGGUUAUAUGAAAAUUCUUGAAACAAUCGAGGUGUCUGAAGCAUAUAAGAGUUUGAAAGAAACUUUUCCAGUAAAGCUUCAAGAAUCUUUAUAUGGAUUGAAAUAGUCAAGGAAGAAAAAGGGUACAAAAGAAUGACCCUAAUUUUCCUUGUAUUUUUAUGAAAAGGUCUUGGUAAGACAAAAUUUUGUCUAGACCUACAGAUUGUUAAUUUGACAAAUAAAAUAUUUGUCUAACAGUGCACAUACACUGAAAAAUUUUGAUGCAAUUUUAUGUGGAUAUAUCGCAUUCAUUGAGUACCCCAAUGAUUAUGAGAUCACUUGACAUAAAUGAUGAUUCAGUUUGAUCUCAAAAGAAGGAUGAAGAGUU
rnacentral:lncRNA from 1 species